rnacentral:rRNA from 1 species
UACGUAGGUGGCGAGCGUUGUCCGGAAUUACUGGGUGUAAAGCGCGCGUAGGCGGUAGGCCAAGUCUGCUGUGAAAUCGCCCGGCUCAACUGGGCGCGGUCGGUGGAAACUGGUCAACUGGAGGACGGUAGAGGCGAGUGGAAUUCCCGGUGUAGUGGUGAAAUGCGUAGAGAUCGGGAGGAACACCAGUGGCGAAGGCGGCUCGCUGGGCCGGACCUGACGCUGAGGCGCGAAAGCUAGGGGAGCAAACGGG